rnacentral:rRNA from 1 species
GACGAACGCUGGCGGCGCGCCUAACACAUGCAAGUCGAACGAGCGAGAGAGAGCUUGCUUUCUCGAGCGAGUGGCGAACGGGUGAGUAACGCGUGAGGAACCUGCCUCAAAGAGGGGGACAACAGUUGGAAACGACUGCUAAUACCGCAUAAGCCCACGGCUCGGCAUCGAGCAGAGGGAAAAGGAGCAAUCCGCUUUGAGAUGGCCUCGCGUCCGAUUAGCUAGUUGGUGAGGUAAUGGCCCACCAAGGCAACGAUCGGUAGCCGGACUGAGAGGUUGAACGGCCACAUUGGGACUGAGACACGGCCCAGACUCCUACGGGAGGCAGCAGUGGGGAAUAUUGCACAAUGGGGGAAACCCUGAUGCAGCGACGCCGCGUGGAGGAAGAAGGUCUUCGGAUUGUAAACUCCUGUUGUUGAGGAAGAUAAUGACGGUACUCAACAAGGAAGUGACGG